GCGGGUAUGGCGGAAUUGGUAGACGCGCUAGACUUAGGAUCUGGUGCCGCAAGGCGUGGGGGUUCGACUCCCUUUACCCGUA
rnacentral:tRNA from 1 species